ACGAACGCUGGCGGCAGGCCUAACACAUGCCAGUCGAGCGAGGACUUCGGUUCUAGCGGCGGACGGGUGAGUAACGCGUGGGAAUGUGCCCUUCUCUACGGAAUAGCCCUGGGAAACUGGGAGUAAUACCGUAUACGCCCUUUUGGGGAAAGAUUUAUCGGAGAAGGAUCAGCCCGCGUUGGAUUAGGUAGUUGGUGGGGUAAUGGCCUACCAAGCCGACGAUCCAUAGCUGGUUUGAGAGGAUGAUCAGCCACACUGGGACUGAGACACGGCCCAGACUCCUACGGGAGGCAGCAGUGGGGAAUCUUAGACAAUGGGGGCAACCCUGAUCUAGCCAUGCCGCGUGAGUGAUGAAGGCCUUAGGGUUGUAAAGCUCUUUCAGCUGGGAAGAUAAUGACGGUACCAGCAGAAGAAGCCCCGGCUAACUCCGUG
rnacentral:rRNA from 1 species